rnacentral:rRNA from 1 species
GCCAUUAGAUGACGCCCGCGUUGGAUUAGCUAGUUGGUGGGUAACGGCCCACCAAGGCGACGAUCCAUAGCUGGUCUGAGAGGAUGAUCAGCCACACUGGGACUGAGACACGGCCCAGACUCCUACGGGGAGGCAGCAGUGGGGAAUAUUGGACAAUGGGCGCAAGCCUGAUCCAGCCAUGCCGCGUGAGUGACGAAGGUCUUCGGAUUGUAAAGCUCUUUUGGCGGGGACGAUAAUGACGGUACCCGCAGAAUAAGCCCCGGCUAACUUCGUG